rnacentral:rRNA from 1 species
AGAGUUUGAUCCUGGCUCAGGACGAACGCUGGCGGCGUGCUUAACACAUGCAAGUCGAACGGAAAGGCCUCUUGCUUGCAAGGGGUACUCGAGUGGCGAACGGGUGAGUAACACGUGGGUGAUCUGCCUUGCACUCUGGGAUAAGCUUGGGAAACUGGGUCUAAUACCGGAUAUGAACUGCCUUUAGUGUGGUGGUUGGAAAGUUUUUUCGGUGCAAGAUGAGCUCGCGGCCUAUCAGCUUGUUGGUGGGGUAAUGGCCUACCAAGGCGUCGACGGGUAGCCGGCCUGAGAGGGUGUACGGCCACAUUGGGACUGAGAUACGGCCCAGACUCCUACGGGAGGCAGCAGUGGGGAAUAUUGCACAAUGGGCGGAAGCCUGAUGCAGCGACGCCGCGUGGGGGAUGACGGCCUUCGGGUUGUAAACUCCUUUCGACAGGGACGAAGCUUUUUGUGACGGUACCUGUAUAAGAAGCACCGGCUAACUACGUG